UGGCAAUCUACUUGUGUCUCCCCCAUGUCUAUUGUACUUCAUCAGGUGCUCUGGUGUCAGUGGAAACCCGGCACAUGUUGAAGUACACUCAAUAUGCGGUGAUUUGCAGUUGCUGUUUCGG
rnacentral:pre_miRNA from 15 species